GUCCUUUGUCUAAAUUGGUGCAUAAUCUACAAGCUGCACGCAGUCAUCCAGUGAUUGAGAGGAGAGAGGAGGCUUUCAACGAACUAUAUAUCAUGAAGAGAUAUGUGAAAAAUCACCUUGAGGAUUGAUUCUAAACAACGUUUAACAUGUUUCAGUCGAUAUUAUGGAGUUAAUUUGGAAAAAAGUUCGGCGUUUUGAAGACUGAAUUUUCGUUUUUUUUUUGGUAGCCAAACGGAGCAAUUUCUCCUAAACAAAUAAUCUUUCAGGAAAAACUGAGCAUUUGCUAUCUAACUGAGAGUCUCCUCAUUGAAAACAUCUGAAGUUCUUCAAAGGACCUGAGCCCUAGGACCAUGCCCCAGGACUACCUGACAUGAUGACUCCUUGCUGUCCCCAGUCCAUCUGACCGUGCUGCUGCUCCAGUUUCAACUGUUCUGCCUUAUUAUUAUACGACCAUGCUGGUCAUUUAUGAACAUUUGAACAUCUUGGCCAUGUUCUGUUAUAAUCUCCACCCGGCACAGCCAGAAGAGGACUGGCCACCCCACAUAGCCUGGUUCCUCUCUAGGUUUCUUCCUAGGUUUUGGCCUUUCUAGGGAGUUUUUCCUAGCCACCGUGCUUCUACACCUGCAUUGCUUGCUGUUUGGGGUUUUAGGCUGGGUUUCUGUACAGCACUUUGAGAUAUCAGCUGAUGUAUGAAGGGCUAUAUAAAUUAAUUUGAUUUGAUUUCAUAUUUGGGAUGUAGGUGUAUGCAUGUUCACAGUGUAUAAGGGUGUUGAGUAUUUGGGCUGCUGUAUUGUAUAAGCUCCAAGUUACAGAUAGGGCUGGUAUUUAGUAUUGGGACAGUUUAUGCUGUGUUACAGAUAGGAAUGGUAUUUAGUAUUGGGACAGUUUAGGCUGUGUUACAGACAGGGAUGAUAUUUAGUAUUGGGACAGUUUAUGCUGUGUUACAGAUAGGGAUGGUAUUUAGUAUUGGGACAGUUUAUGCUGCGUUACAGACAGGGAUGGUAUUUAGUUGCUAUACUGUAUGUUCAGAGAGAUGGCAGACCUAUUUAGUAUUGGGCCAGUGUCAGUGUGAGUGGAGAUCAGCCAGAGAGCAGCCAGAAAGCAGACGGAGAGCGGCCGGAGAGCGGCCGGAGAGCGGCCGGAGAGCAGCCGGAGAGCAGCCGGAGAGCAGCCAGAGAGCAGCCAGAGAGCAGCCAGAGAGC
ensembl:lncRNA